AAACCCCCGUUCUUACGGAAAGACCAGAAUCAGAAAGAACAAAACCGACAUAUGAUGACAAUAACUGACAGCUGAGGAGCACCCUCCAAGACGCCAGGCGACACACCAAGAGACGUAGCACGUUUUCAUUUAAACCUCAUCACAACCACCGGAGAGGGUGUCCUCCCACCACCCUGUGAGAGAAGCAAGGAAGGAGCAGAGAGCUGGUCCUAAGCAUAGGUGGAGAAGGCUGGCCACUGCCUCCGCAGAGUGAAAGACUAUCUGGGGAUCCAGCUUUAGCAACCGGGCCAUGAGAAAGCUGGACCCGAAAUAAGCAACGGUGGGUUUGAUUUCUGACUUUUGCUACUGACUUGCUGUGUGCCCAUGAAGAGAUCAUUUAAUAUCUGAGUAAAAGCCUCAGUAGCUCAGUGAUUAAUUAUGGGAGUAAGAAAAGAUGUAAGAAGAAACGAAACUUGCAGAAAGAGUCUAAGAUGAAACCCCAUUAACCACCCACUCCCCAUACCAAUGUAAGGAUCUACUCACAUGUGUUACAACAGAGGGUGGCAUUUCCUAUUCCCUUAGAUCGGGUAUAGAUUAAAAAAUGAUACAGCUUAAAAAGACAAAUAUCAUAUGACUUCACUCACAUGUGGAAUUUAAGACACAAAAAUGAGCAAAGGGAAAAUGAGAGAGAGAGAGAGAGAGAG